AACCAUAGAAACCUGCGGAGUACCUGCGGAGGGAUCAUUACGAGAGUGUCACCACUCCCAACCCAUUGUUUACCUACCCGUCCACCGUGCUUCGGCAGGCAGCCCUGUGGGACAGAGCCUCGCCCCCUUUCGCGGGGGGUGCCUGCCGCUUGCCAACCAAAGCUCUAGCUGUUUUAGUACCAUCUGAGUCUUCCACAAAUGAACAAAACUUUUAACAACGGAUCUCAGAUCGGAAGAGCA
rnacentral:misc_RNA from 1 species